ACCUUAUCAAGAGUCGGGGAAGGAGUCUGGUCCUGUGAUCCCGCAGCAACCGUUAUUUGUAACAAGGUGCUAAUUCCAGCAAGCAAGCAUUUGCUUGAAAGAUGAGAU
rnacentral:ncRNA from 1 species